AGAGUUUGAUCCUGGCUCAGAUUGAACGCUGGCGGCAUGCCUUACACAUGCAAGUCGAACGGCAGCACGGGUGCUUGCACCUGGUGGCGAGUGGCGAACGGGUGAGUAAUACAUCGGAACAUGUCCUGUAGUGGGGGAUAGCCCGGCGAAAGCCGGAUUAAUACCGCAUACGAUCCACGGAUGAAAGCGGGGGACCUUCGGGCCUCGCGCUAUAGGGUUGGCCGAUGGCUGAUUAGCUAGUUGGUGGGGUAAAGGCCUACCAAGGCGACGAUCAGUAGCUGGUCUGAGAGGACGACCAGCCACACUGGGACUGAGACACGGCCCAGACUCCUACGGGAGGCAGCAGUGGGGAAUUUUGGACAAUGGGCGAAAGCCUGAUCCAGCAAUGCCGCGUGUGUGAAGAAGGCCUUCGGGUUGUAAAGCACUUUUGUCCGGAAAGAAAUCCUUGGCUCUAAUACAGUCGGGGGAUGACGGUACCGGAAGAAUAAGCACCGGCUAACUACGUGCCAGCAGCCGCGGUAAUACGUAGGGUGCAAGCGUUAAUCGGAAUUACUGGGCGUAAAGCGUGCGCAGGCGGUUUGCUAAGACCGAUGUGAAAUCCCCGGGCUCAACCUGGGAACUGCAUUGGUGACUGGCAGGCUAGAGUAUGGCAGAGGGGGGUAGAAUUCCACGUGUAGCAGUGAAAUGCGUAGAGAUGUGGAGGAAUACCGAUGGCGAAGGCAGCCCCCUGGGCCAAUACUGACGCUCAUGCACGAAAGCGUGGGGAGCAAACAGGAUUAGAUACCCUGGUAGUCCACGCCCUAAACGAUGUCAACUAGUUGUUGGGGAUUCAUUUCCUUAGUAACGUAGCUAACGCGUGAAGUUGACCGCCUGGGGAGUACGGUCGCAAGAUUAAAACUCAAAGGAAUUGACGGGGACCCGCACAAGCGGUGGAUGAUGUGGAUUAAUUCGAUGCAACGCGAAAAACCUUACCUACCCUUGACAUGGUCGGAAUCCCGCUGAGAGGUGGGAGUGCUCGAAAGAGAACCGGCGCACAGGUGCUGCAUGGCUGUCGUCAGCUCGUGUCGUGAGAUGUUGGGUUAAGUCCCGCAACGAGCGCAACCCUUGUCCUUAGUUGCUACGCAAGAGCACUCUAAGGAGACUGCCGGUGACAAACCGGAGGAAGGUGGGGAUGACGUCAAGUCCUCAUGGCCCUUAUGGGUAGGGCUUCACACGUCAUACAAUGGUCGGAACAGAGGGUUGCCAACCCGCGAGGGGGAGCUAAUCCCAGAAAACCGAUCGUAGUCCGGAUUGCACUCUGCAACUCGAGUGCAUGAAGCUGGAAUCGCUAGUAAUCGCGGAUCAGCAUGCCGCGGUGAAUACGUUCCGGGUCUUGUACACAACCGCCCGUCACACCAUGGGAGUGGGGUUUUACCAGAAGUGGCUAGUCUAAACCGCAAGGAGGACGGUCACACGGUAGGAUUCAUGACUGGGGUGAAGUCGUAACAAGGUAGCCGUAUCGGAAGGUGCGGCUGGAUCACCU
rnacentral:rRNA from 1 species